GGGUUCGUGGUCUAGUGGUACGAUUCCUGCUUAGGGGUUUUGAGAACUUUUAGAUGCAGGAGGUCCCGAGUUCGAUCCUCGGCGAACCCC